rnacentral:rRNA from 1 species
UACGUAGGUGGCGAGCGUUGUCCGGAUUUACUGGGCGUAAAGGGCUUGUAGGCGGUCCGUUAAGUCCGAUGUGAAAUCUCCCGGCUCAACUGGGAGAGGUCAUUGGAUACUGGCGGACUCGAGGGGGGUAGAGGAAAGCAGAAUUCCUGGUGUAGCGGUGAAAUGCGUAGAUAUCAGGAGGAAUACCAGUGGCGAAGGCGGCUUUCUGGGCCUACCCUGACGCUGAGGAGCGAAAGCGUGGGGAGCAAAC